rnacentral:rRNA from 1 species
UACGUAGGGGGCUAGCGUUGUCCGGAUUUAUUGGGCGUAAAGAGCGUGUAGGCGGCCAGGUAGGUCUGCUGUGAAAACUCGAGGCUCAACCUCGAGACGUCGGCGGAAACCAUCUGGCUAGAGUCCGGAAGAGGAGAGUGGAAUUCCUGGUGUAGCGGUGAAAUGCGCAGAUAUCAGGAAGAACACCCGUGGCGAAGGCAGCUCGCUGGGACGUGACUGACGCUGAGACGCGAAAGCGUGGGGAGCAAACAGG